UACANCGGGAAGGCCAUGCGGCGACGCAGAGCGGAACCCGAAAACCUAGUCUCAGUUCGGAUUGGAGUCUGCAACCCGACUCCAUGAAGCUGGAUUCGCUAGUAAUCGCGCAUCAGCCACGGCGCGGUGAAUACGUUCCCGGGCCUUGUACACACCGCCCGUCACACCAUGGGAGUCGGUAACACCCGAAGUCGGUAGCCUAACCGUAAGGAGGGCGCCGCCGAAGGUGGGAUUGAUGACUGGGGUGAAGUCGUAACAAGGUACC
rnacentral:rRNA from 1 species